rnacentral:rRNA from 1 species
CAAGUCGAGCGGCAGCGCGGGGCAACCUGGCGGCGAGCGGCGAACGGGUGAGUAAUGCAUCGGAACAUGUCCAUGUCGUGGGGGAUAGCCCGGCGAAAGCCGGAUUAAUACCGCAUAAGCCCGAGAGGGGAAAGCCGGGGACCGCAAGGCCUGGCGCGAUUGGGUUGGCCGAUGUCCGAUUAGCUAGUUGGCGGGGUAAGAGCCCACCAAGGCGAUGAUCGGUAGCUGGUCUGAGAGGAUGAUCAGCCACACUGGGACUGAGACACGGCCCAGACUCCUACGGGAGGCAGCAGUGGGGAAUUUUGGACAAUGGGGGAAACCCUGAUCCAGCCAUUCCGCGUGAGUGAAGAAGGCCUUCGGGUUGUAAAGCUCUUUUGUCCGGAACGAAACGGUUGGCGUGAAUAUCGCCGACUACUGACGGUACCGGAAGAAUAAGCACCGGCUAACUACGUGCCAUCAGCCGCGGUAAUACGUAGGGUGCGAGCGUUAAUCGGAAUUACUGGGCGUAAGGCGUGCGCAGGCGGUUUUGUAAGCCAGAUGUGAAAUCCCCGGGCUUAACCUGGGAAUGGCAUUUGGGACUGCAAGGCUUGAGUGCGGCAGAGGAGACUGGAAUUCCCGGUGUAGCAGUGAAAUGCGUAGAUAUCGGGAGGAAUACCGAUGGCGAAGGCAGGUCUCUGGGCUGACACUGACGCUCAUGCACGAAAGCGUGGGGAGCAAACAGGAUUAGAUACCCUGGUAGUCCACGCCCUAAACGAUGUCGACUGGUUGUUGGGGGUUUGACACUGUGAGUA